UGACAAACGCUGUACUUUAAUAGUAUAGAGGAAAGUCCAUGCUCACACAGUCUGAGAUGAUUGUAGUGUUCGUGCUAAGGGAAAAAAUAACCUUAGGUAGCGUUAGCUAACGGCGAUGAGGUUUCCUAAGUCUUUUGAUAUGGAAAUAGUAGUUGUAAAGUGCCACAGUGACGAUAUUUUUCCGAAAGGAAAAAGUGAAACGUGGUAAACCCCGCGAGUGAGAAACCCAAAUUUUGGUAGGGGAGUCUUGAUUAGGAAUCAAACGAAAUCAAGGACCGUAUAUCGGUAGAUAAAUGUUUGUCACCUAGUAAUAGGUACAGAACAUGGCUUAUAA
rnacentral:RNase_P_RNA from 2 species